rnacentral:misc_RNA from 1 species
GCAAGAAGUAGAUGAUAACUGUGAGAAUUUGGUGUUCUCUCAACUAAGAGUGCUUUCACUAAACUGCCUUCCCAACCUGGAAGGAUUUUGCACGGAUUAUACCUUGACUUUCAAAUGGCCAUCCUUGGAAAAGGUAAAGGUGGUUCGUUGUCCCAAAAUGCAAAUGUUUGCUGCUGUUGUGGAUUCUGAAGGAGACUUGAGCACACCAAAGUUGGAGAUGAUCGAAGUAGAUGGUGUUAACAUAAAGCUUUGGAACAGAUAUAAACAGAGUCAUGCAAGUCAUGCAAGCCAACUACAGAGGCGAGGGAAUUGCAGGUCCUUCUAACUGACCAAUAAAGCUGUGUGCAGGGAACAACAAAUAAAAUGGAGAGGUAGUUCAAUUUGCUGUCAAUGAGUGCAGCUCAAACAUUGGCAAUGAAAGGGAUGCGUGUGAGCUGUGCUGGGCAUCUCUCAUUUUCUGCUUUUGGCCUUUGGGGUUUUACAUCAAUGUGAGGAUUAAAAGUUUGGGGAAAACAAAUAGAGCAUGGCAAAAUUCUGCAGAGGAGGAGGGUCUUUGAGGUCAUAUGAAUAGUGUUUAGUAGUACCAAAUUCUUCAAUUUCUUCUGCUUCAUUAUUGAAUAGUGAAGUAUAUUUGUUAUUGAAAUAAUUUAAUGGAGGAUCACAGAUUGAAUUGGGGAAGCAAAGUUAAGUAAG